AGUGAACGCUGGCGGUAGGCCUAACACAUGCAAGUCGAACGGCAGCACAGUAAGAGCUUGCUCUUACGGGUGGCGAGUGGCGGACGGGUGCGGAAUACAUCGGAAUCUACUUUUUCGUGGGGGAUAACGUAGGGAAACUUACGCUAAUACCGCAUACGACCUACGGGUGAAAGCAGGGGAUCUUCGGACCUUGCGCGAUUGAAUGAGCCGAUGUCGGAUUAGCUAGUUGGCGGGGAAAAGGCCCACCAAGGCGACGAUCCGUAGCUGGUCUGAGAGGAUGAUCAGCCACACUGGAACUGAGACACGGUCCAGACUCCUACGGGAGGCAGCAGUGGGGAAUAUUGGACAAUGGGCGCAAGCCUGAUCCAGCCAUACCGCGUGGGUGAAGAAGGCCUUCGGGUUGUAAAGCCCUUUUGUUGGGAAAGAAAAGCAGCAGGUUAAUACCCCGCUGUUCUGACGGUACCCAAAGAAUAAGCACCGGCUAACUUCGUG
rnacentral:rRNA from 1 species